ensembl:lncRNA
UGUGUCAACCAUUGUUGCAACUGUACCUACAUCUGUCAAUAUAACAGCGGCCCCAACUGGUGUCACCAAUGCCACAGCGGCCCCAACUGCAGCUCCUGUUGCUACAGAGGCCCCUGCAUCCACUGAUCCCCCAACAUCCAGUGAGGGAACCCUUCGCCUUCUGUUCAGUCUCAACCGAACAUUCACAUCCGACCUGUCAAACCGAUCCUCAGCAGCGUUUAAGACGUUGGCUGCUGAAGUCAUCCAAGAGAUUAACCGAGUGGCCAGGAUUAUCUAUGCAUCGUCUUUCAGACGCACCCUCAUUAACAAUUUCACGAGUGGAUCAGUAAAGGUUGACACCACACUUGUGUUCCAAGAUAAGAGCUCAGUUCCUCAAGCAAGCACUGCGACUGCACAAUUCAUCAGUUUGCUCUCCAAUUCUUCCCUCGGCAUCGUACCCGGCAGCAUUUCUGCACAGUCCACAUCAACUUCAGGCAGCCCCCCCAUGGCCACAAUGGGCUCACUGGCAGUCUUUUCACUUACACUGCUGGCUGUAGCACAGAUGCUAGUCACCCUGUAACAGACACUGAAG